GAACUUCGUACGAAGUCACUGGUUUUAUAUUCCUUGUAUGAAAUUCUCAGCAGCCUCCUUGGGCAUUUCUUCUCAAAUGCAUGGAUUCUCCUCUCGGUAUUGACAAACUGAGUCCGUAAAGCAGGUUAUGAGCUGUUUUGCUCGCAUGCCUCUGUCAACUGUCGUGUUCGCCACACUGUUUACUGGUUGCUGUGGUGAAGGCCAGAAGCAGACGUACAGUUCACGCGCCCUGAGUCUGCUAGUCGCGGAUUUCACAUUCAGCUGAUUCACCGCCGACAUAAAAUAUAACCGUUUCUUGUGAAUCAUGGGCUUUUCAAUGUCAAAGUCUGAAAAGCCCAAGACAAAUCUUGCUCUUCAUUCACACCAUGUACAACCUGUGGGUAUUUCUUCCAAUCAGCCACAACAGCAACAGCCUCAUCAACAACAACAGCAUCACCAAAACCAGCAACUUCAACAA
rnacentral:lncRNA from 1 species